rnacentral:misc_RNA from 1 species
CACCCCUCAAACUUCACUGUUUGUUGUUGGGUACUGCCUGAGGGCAUACCUAAAAAUUAGCGACGGUUUCAACCAACCUCAGACGUACAAGUAUCGUUAUGGAGAGCGGUUGAGGCCUGUCUUAACAAAAAUAUCUAAA